rnacentral:rRNA from 1 species
ACGAACGCUGGCGGCGUGCUUAACACAUGCAAGUCGAACGGAAAGGCCUGUCCUUCCUUGUGUUGGACGGGUACUCGAGUGGCGAACGGGUGAGUAACACGUGAGUGAUCUGCCCCCAACUUGGGUAUAAGCCUGGGAAACUGGGUCUAAUUCCCGAUAGGACUGCAGGGUGGUGCCUGUGGUGGAAAACGAUUUUCUAGUGGUUGGGGAUGAGCUCGCGGCCUAUCAGCUUGUUGGUGGGGUAAUGGCCUACCAAGGCGGCGACGGGUAGCCGGCCUGAGAGGGUGGACGGCCCCAUUGGGACUGGGAUACGGCCCAGACUCCUACGGGAGGCAGCAGUGGGGAAUAUUACACAAUGGGCGGAAGCCUGAUGCAGCGACGCCGCGUGGGGGAUGACGGCCUUCGGGUUGUAAACUCCUUUCGACCGCGAGGAAGCCGCCUGGUUGGAAGGGUGGUGACGGUAGUGGUAGAAGAAGCACCGGCUAACUACGUG